UACGAAGGGGGCUAGCGUUGUUCGGAUUUACUGGGCGUAAAGCGCACGUAGGCGGAUCGUUAAGUCAGGGGUGAAAUCCUGGGGCUCAACCCCAGAACUGCCUUUGAUACUGGCGACCUCGAGUCCGGAAGAGGCGAGUGGAAUUCCCGGUGUAGCGGUGAAAUGCGCAGAUAUCGGGAGGAACACCAGUGGCGAAGGCGACACGCUGGGCCAUACCUGACGCUAAAGCGCGACAGCAUGGGGAGCAAACGGG
rnacentral:rRNA from 1 species